rnacentral:rRNA from 1 species
CCUACGGGCGGCAGCAGUGGGGAAUAUUGCACAAUGGGCGCAAGCCUGAUGCAGCCAUGCCGCGUGUGUGAAGAAGGCCUUCGGGUUGUAAAGCACUUUCAGCGGGGAGGAAGGCGUUAAGGUUAAUAACCUUGUCGAUUGACGUUACCCGCAGAAGAAGCACCGGCUAACUCCGUGCCAGCAGCCGCGGUAAUACGAAGGGUGCAAGCGUUAAUCGGAAUUACUGGGCGUAAAGCGCACGCAGGCGGUCUGUCAAGUCGGAUGUGAAAUCCCCGGGCUCAACCUGGGAACUGCAUUCGAAACUGGCAGGCUAGAGUCUUGUAGAGGGGGGUAGAAUUCCAGGUGUAGCGGUGAAAUGCGUAGAGAUCUGGAGGAAUACCGGUGGCGAAGGCGGCCCCCUGGACAAAGACUGACGCUCAGGUGCGAAAGCGUGGGGAGCAAACAGGAUUAGAUACCCCAGUAGUC